rfam:Candidatus Phytoplasma oryzae Pmin.contig.10_1, whole genome shotgun sequence.
GGAGGAAUACUCAAGUGGUCGAAGAGGCAUGUUUGGAAAAUAUGUAGAUCUUUAAAAAAGAUGCAAGGGUUCGAAUCCCUUUUCUUCCG